rnacentral:rRNA from 1 species
UCGAAACCUGCCCAGCAGAGCGACCCGUGAACAUGUUCAACCUCAUGGGUGCUGGGGCGUUGCUCGGUGCCUUGUGUGCCGGCUCGCCCCUCUCCCAGGCGGGGGAGCUCCCACUUGUGGGCUGUUCCCCGGCUAACCAACGAACCCCGGCGCGUAAUGCGUCAAGGAAUAUAAACUUUAUGUGUGUGCUCUCCUAUCGCCCGGUUAGCCGGGCGUUGGAGUGGUGCCAUGUCUUAACAAUAAACGACUCUCGGCAACGGAUAUCUCGGCUCUCGCAUCGAUGAAGAACGUAGCGAAAUGCGAUACUUGGUGUGAAUUGCAGAAUCCCGUGAACCAUCGAGUUUUUGAACGCAAGUUGCGCCCGAAGCCUUCGGCUGAGGGCACGUCUGCCUGGGCGUCACGCAUCGCGUCUCCCCCACAUUCCACCUGGUGAGGGGAAGGAGGAUGGUUUCCCGCGACUCACCGGUCACGGCUGGCCUAAAAUUGGAGCCCUCGGCAUCGGGAUGCCGCGGCGAUAGGUGGUGAACAAGGCCUCGGCCAAGCAAGCAACCCGUCGCGCAUGCCGUGCCAAUUCGGGCUCGAAGGACCCUUUGUCGUUGUCUUAAGACAACCCGGUCAGGCGGGGCUACC